rnacentral:lncRNA from 1 species
AAAUUUGGCCUGCUGUGACAGUGACCACGUUCCUCCUCCUCGCAGGCAAUGUCAAGAUCGAGCCGCUGAACUACAAGCGGCUGUCGCGAGCCACCUCCUUCCCACAGCACGUGGUGAAGGACUGCGUGCAAGAGACCAUCCUCUUGUACUCUUCCCAACUGAAGAACGGGCAGCGCCUCUCCUUCGCCUUCAAGGGCAUUGGUGUUCUGUCCUGCAAAGACGACCUCCUGUGCAUGCGGUUCUAUUCUGACUGCGUCACAGGGCUGGAGAGGAAGGCCAGCCGGAUUGCGCUGCUUCACACUAGGCUGUGGAUGCCAGGGGCAGCUGUCUCCGGUGGAGCGACCGCCGCUCAGGAGGUGCAGGCUGCUCCUGCCCACGCGUUCCCGAGGUUUCAGUUCCUGGUGAUCGGCAGACCGGCGUCCGAGGCUUUCUCCGCCUGGCACAAGAAGGUUGCAGAAAAGCACAGGGUCAGAAGAGGUACGGGAAGGGGUCCCUGCUGUCCAGAGCCCGGUUCAAACGCACUCCCCACGGGGCUGCUCUGAAGAGCUUCCUCCUUUCCCAGGUACAGAGGGAAGCCAGGCGCCUGACAAGCUGCUGCAGAGGCGGGUGAAGUAUUCCCUCCCCGCGCUGCCAAACCAGGGGCCGGGCACCAGGCAG